GUUUCGUGGAACCCAGUCAGACG
rnacentral:piRNA from 1 species